rnacentral:snoRNA from 1 species
UCGCACUGUACGUAAUCAUUUGUCAUCCCCCAUUGACAACUGGUUCCAUUCCAGUGCCAAAUCAAUUCCCUUAAAGAAAAGUAUGGCUCGGCCAAUAGCCGGCCUGUUUUUGUCGGUUGGGAACAAUU